UACAGAGGUCUCAAGCGUUGUUCGGAUUCAUUGGGCGUAAAGGGUGCGUAGGCGGCGCGGUAAGUCGGUUGUGAAAUCUCGGAGCUUAACUCCGAAACUGCAUUCGAUACUGCCGUGCUUGAGGACUGGAGAGGAGACUGGAAUUCAUGGUGUAGCAGUGAAAUGCGUAGAGAUCAUGAGGAAGACCAGUGGCGAAGGCGGGUCUCUGGACAGUUCCUGACACUGAGACACGAAGGCCAGGGGAGCAAACGGG
rnacentral:rRNA from 1 species